AUUGAACGCUGGCGGCAUGCCUUACACAUGCAAGUCGAACGGUAACAGGUCUUCGGAUGCUGACGAGUGGCGAACGGGUGAGUAAUACAUCGGAACGUGCCUAGUAGUGGGGGAUAACUACUCGAAAGAGUGGCUAAUACCGCAUGAGAUCUACGGAUGAAAGCAGGGGAUCGCAAGACCUUGUGCUACUAGAGCGGCCGAUGGCAGAUUAGGUAGUUGGUGGGAUAAAAGCUUACCAAGCCGACGAUCUGUAGCUGGUCUGAGAGGACGAUCAGCCACACUGGGACUGAGACACGGCCCAGACUCCUACGGGAGGCAGCAGUGGGGAAUUUUGGACAAUGGGCGCAAGCCUGAUCCAGCAAUGCCGCGUGCAGGAUGAAGGCCUUCGGGUUGUAAACUGCUUUUGUACGGAGCGAAAGGGCUUCCACUAAUACUGGGGGCUCAUGACGGUACCGUAAGAAUAAGCACCGGCUAACUACGUGCCAGCCGCCGCCGUAA
rnacentral:rRNA from 1 species